AUGUCGUGGCUGCAGUACGCGGCGACCCGGAGGCAGCGCGCCGCCACGGCCUGCCUCUUCCUCACCGGCGCCGCGCUCAUCGCCGCCGCCGCGCGCCUCUCCUACGCCAACAUCGAGCCCCAGCGCGCCAAGGCCGCCCAGCGCCGCAAGGUCCUCGAGGACUUCAUCGCCCGCAAGCGCGCAGCCGUGGCCGGACCCGGAGCCGGAGCCGGAGCAGACUCCCACCCCCAGCCAGAUCCCCCCAAAACCUAG
rnacentral:rRNA from 1 species